AUUGAACGCUGGCGGAAUGCUUUACACAUGCAAGUCGAACGGUAGAGGGGGCAACCCCUCGAGAGUGGCGAACGGGUGAGUAAUAUAUCGGAACGUGCCCAGUCGUGGGGGAUAACGUAGCGAAAGUUACGCUAAUACCGCAUACGAUCUAAGGAGGAAAGCGGGGGAUCGCAAGACCGCGCGCGAUAGGAGCGGGCGAUAUCAGAUUAGGUAGUUGGUGGGGUAAAGGCUCACCAAGCCAACGAUCUGUAGCUGGUCUGAGAGGACGCCCAGCCACACUGGAACUGAGACACGGUCCAGACUCCUACGGGAGGCAGCAGUGGGGAAUUUUGGACAAUGGACGCAAGUCUGAUCCAGCCAUUCCGCGUGCAGGAUGAAGGCCCUCGGGUUGUAAACUGCUUUUGUACGGAACGAAAAGGUCUCUCUUAAUACGGGGGGCUCAUGACGGUACCGUAAGAAUAAGCACCGGCUAACUACGUGCCAGCCGCCGCCGUAA
rnacentral:rRNA from 1 species